CACUGUUUCACAGAUGCUGUGAGGGUGACAAAGAUGCAGGGCACCCACUGGAAACACAGACGGCACUCUGCGAAAGAGGAAGGGGCGCCAGGAGCUUGGGUGAGCAAGGUUGGAGGUGAUUCUGCCCCUCUCCCCAGGCUUUCUGUAUUAGAAAACUGAAGCUUCAAGAACAGACUUGCCUAACAACAGGAAACUUGUAUGUCUCGAAGUGGCAAUUCACACAUAAGGCUCCAUGACUCCUGAACUCUCACAAAUAUUAGUUGGCUCUUUUCAUGGUUUUACUGAAGUUGCUAGAAGUUUACAGAAAAGGAAGUGCAGGAACAUUUCACAAAUCUACAAUCUGUGAGUAUCACAUCCUGUAUAGCUGUAAACACUGGAAUAAGGAAGGGCUGAUGACUUUCAGAAGAUGAAGGUAAGUAGAAACCGUUGAUGGGACUGAGAAACCAGAGUUAAAACCUCUUUGGAGCUUCUGAGGACUCAGCUGGAACCAACGGGCACAGUUGGCAACACCAUCAUGACAUCACAACCUGUUCCCAAUGAGACCAUCAUAGUGCUCCCAUCAAAUGUCAUCAACUUCUCCCAAGCAGAGAAACCCGAACCCACCAACCAGGGGCAGGAUAGCCUGAAGAAACAUCUACACGCAGAAAUCAAAGUUAUUGGGACUAUCCAGAUCUUGUGUGGCAUGAUGGUAUUGAGCUUGGGGAUCAUUUUGGCAUCUGCUUCCUUCUCUCCAAAUUUUACCCAAGUGACUUCUACACUGUUGAACUCUGCUUACCCAUUCAUAGGACCCUUUUUUGUUUAUCAUCUCUGGCUCUCUAUCAAUCGCCACAGAGAAAAGGUUAACCAAGCUUUUGGUGCAUAGCAGCCUGGUUGGAAGCAUUCUGAGUGCUCUGUCUGCCCUGGUGGGUUUCAUUAUCCUGUCUGUCAAACAGGCCACCUUAAAUCCUGCCUCACUGCAGUGUGAGUUGGACAAAAAUAAUAUACCAACAAGAAGUUAUGUUUCUUACUUUUAUCAUGAUUCACUUUAUACCACGGACUGCUAUACAGCCAAAGCCAGUCUGGCUGGAACUCUCUCUCUGAUGCUGAUUUGCACUCUGCUGGAAUUCUGCCUAGCUGUGCUCACUGCUGUGCUGCGGUGGAAACAGGCUUACUCUGACUUCCCUGGGAGUGUACUUUUCCUGCCUCACAGUUACAUUGGUAAUUCUGGCAUGUCCUCAAAAAUGACUCAUGACUGUGGAUAUGAAGAACUAUUGACUUCUUAAGAAAAAAGGGAGAAAUAUUAAUCAGAAAGUUGAUUCUUAUGAUAAUAUGGAAAAGUUAACCAUUAUAGAAAAGCAAAGCUUGAGUUUCCUAAAUGUAAGCUUUUAAAGUAAUGAACAUUAAAAAAAACCAUUAUUUCA
rnacentral:lncRNA from 1 species